AACGAACGCUGGCGGCAGGCUUAACACAUGCAAGUCGAGCGCCCCGCAAGGGGAGCGGCAGACGGGUGAGUAACGCGUGGGAACGUACCUUUUGGUUCGGAACAACUCCGGGAAACUGGAGCUAAUACCGGAUAAGCCCUAACGGGGAAAGAUUUAUCGCCGAAAGAUCGGCCCGCGUCUGAUUAGCUAGUUGGUGAGGUAACGGCUCACCAAGGCGACGAUCAGUAGCUGGUCUGAGAGGAUGAUCAGCCACACUGGGACUGAGUCACGGCCCAGACUCCUACGGCAGGCAGCAGUGGGGAAUAUUGGACAAUGGGCGCAAGCCUGAUCCAGCCAUGCCGCGUGAGUGAUGAAGGCCUUAGGGUUGUAAAGCUCUUUUGUCCGGGAAGAUAAUGACUGUACCGGAAGAAUAAGCCCCGGCUAACUUCGUG
rnacentral:rRNA from 1 species